CAAUAGCGUAUAUUAAAGUUGUUGCGGUUAAAAAGCUCGUAGUUGGAUCUCAGUUCAUGUUAAGUGGUCCACUUGCCGGUGGUUACUACUUAGCUGAACAUUUUACAGACCUGUCUUGUGAUGCUCUUCACCGGGUGUCAUGAGCGAUCUGUACGUUUACUUUGAAAAAAUUAGAGUGCUUAAAGCAGGCAUAAUGCCGGAAUAAUCUUGCAUGGAAUAAUGGAAUAGGACCUCGGUUCUAUUUUGUUGGUCUUCGGAUCCUGAGGUAAUGAUUAAGAGGGACAGACGGGGGCAUUCGUAUUGCAGCGCUAGAGGUGAAAUUCUUGGACCGUUGCAAGACGAACUACAGCGAAAGCAUUUGCCAAGAAUGUUUUCAUUAAUCAAGAACGAAAGUUAGAGGUU
rnacentral:rRNA from 1 species